UGAGAGGACGACCAGCCACACUGGGACUGAGACACGGCCCAGACUCCUACGGGAGGCAGCAGUGGGGAAUUUUGGACAAUGGGGGAAACCCUGAUCCAGCCAUGCCGCGUGAGUGAAGAAGGCCUUCGGGUUGUAAAGCUCUUUCAGCCGGAACGAAACAGUCACGGAUAAUACCCGUGACUACUGACGGUACCGGAAGAAGAAGCACCGGCUAACUACGUGCCAGCAGCCGCGGUAAUACGUAGGGUGCGAGCGCUAAUCGGAAAUACUGGGCGUAAAGCGUGCGCAGGCGGUUUUGUAAGUCAGAUGUGAAAUCCCCGGGCUUAACCUGGGAACUGCGUUUGAAACUACAAGGCUAAGGG
rnacentral:rRNA from 1 species